AUUAUUUGCAUUAUUAUUUUCAGGGAAAAUUUUGGAAACACAAUUUGGGACAUUUGGAGGACACCAAAUAAAUUCAAGACUCUCAAAUUUAGACAUUUUAAAUUUUAGUUAUAUUGUAAUUUAAUUGUUAAAACUUUUUGGACAAACUUUUGCACAUUGGGCUAUUGUUAAAAAAUUAUGAUGGGCCCAAAUUGUAGGAUACUUGUCACCCUAGGGUUUCUUUUUAUUUUAGGGUGGACCCCACCCAUUUGGGAGGCAAGGCCUCUUAGUAGAGCUGCAGCCGUAAAUUGAAAAAAAGAGAGGAGGUGCUGGAAGGUUUUAUCGAGAGUGCAUAGGGCUGGAACGUUUUUUAAGGCAAUUUUCUUUGAAAAAUGCUUACUGUGAGGGGCAUUGGAUAAUGAAGGUUUUUCCAGCACAUUUCGUUUACACCACCGAGAGGGAAUCCUUUUUAUUUCUGUUUUGAAGGCACAUGUUCAGCAAGAGGGCUAGUGGUGAUAGAUGCAUUUACUUUUUUUUAUUAAUUGAAGAAAUGAUGAUUGAUUGAAAUGGUGCAGUGAGGUGAUGCAUUCUAGCUUUAGUAUAGUAGGUGCAUUUACUUAUUUCUACAUUGCAUAUUAGUUGAUUCACAUCAUGGAGAAUUGAAAUUGUUUCUUUUUGCUGUACAUGUUUGCCGCCAAGUAGAUUUUCUUUGGAAUCAAAAAAACAUCUCUUUUCUUUUCUUUCGAAGAAACACUUUUUUUUCCUUAACUUAAAGUGAUGUGACGAGAUUAGGUGGGUGAUGGGACUUUGGUAUUAACUCUUUUUUUUCAUAAGCAUCUCUGUUGGAAACAUUUUCACGGUUUGGAUGUUUUUACUUUAAGCACAAUUGGCUUUGAAAUUUCUUUUCUUCAUUGUGCGCANGUUUGAAUUAGGUAAGUAAGUUUUCUUUCAUUUUAAUUUGAGAAUUUGGUCGGGUCCGAUGAUGAGCUAAUUGGAGAUGUGCACAAGGAACAUUUGGUGCUUUACUCGGACAACACAGACUAACAUUUCCUGUUUUUUUUUU
rnacentral:lncRNA from 1 species